GUUCAUAAUUAAAUGCUCAGCUGUUCAAAUAACAAUAAAAUGUAAAAAAAAAUACUGUAUAACAAUAGGACAGGAGUACCUUUUUUGAAAUCAAAGCUCCAUAAGGUGCACAUUUAAAUAAAAAAAAUACUUAAAAUAAGCCUAUAAAAUAAAAAUAAGGCCAAUCUUUUUCCGUAAAUAAAUAUAUUUACAUGAGGCUGCGAGCUACACUGAUUGCUUGGACAUGUGCCGCUCCUUCAAUCGUGAAGCACUGAACCUGGACGACAGCAGGGCGCUAUUAUCACCAAUUCUCAAAAGAGACACCGUUGUCCCUAUAAAGAGACUGAAAUUAAUGGAGACACUUUAAUGAAACUAAGACUACGAAAGCUUAAAUAUUCCCCAAAAUGAAGGAUGAAGUUAAAUUUAUAUGAUUACAAGAAAACCUAAAGACUGAGAUGCCAGCAAGACCACAGACACCACAAGACUCUGGGGAUUUUUCUACCUUUCCGCUCGCUGUUGAGAAGCCUGUAUCUACUAGGCAGCCGACUCCACUCACCUCUCACUUGGCGCUGCCUCUAGAUUCCAGCGGUGGCUUUCCACUGUUGGUCUUCGACUUUCCCUCACCGAUGUCCGGCUGUUGCUGGUGUAGUCUCCAUGCUGGUCUUUCCGACAGAGUGCUGGCGGUUUCGUCAUCCGGCCAACUGAGUCUUCAGUGUUUGUUAAUAAACUUUAAUAUUCAUUCACCUGCUGUUGGAUCCUGGUCUUACUUCUGACACUGUUCUAAUUAUUUAAUGUGGUGUACAGAAGAACUUGGUGACUUUAACAUUUUCUCAUAUUUAUGCAUUUGGUUGUUAUUGCAAAGAAACUUUAUUGCAUUCCCAUUUUUAAUGAGAUGCUCAAUUAGGAGUGAUGGACAGGUGUCCACACAUGUUUAGCCGAACUAUAUUGUUAUCUCUGCAAAUCACUGAGCUGUUUUUACCAUACCAACAUGCACCUUUCUGCAAACUUUUGUGUAGGACUUCCUGUUGAUAUUUCACCUGGAUCAAUCUCAACACAACAUAUUGCUUGUUUGUAGAAACAUAUUACAACAAGUGGAAGUUGUGGCCUUAUAGUUAGAGACUCCUAACCCUAAGGUUGUGGUUUCGAGUUUUAGGCCGGCAAUACCAUGUUUGUUGCAGGUUCAGCAAAGUAAGAAAACAUAAUUUUACCAGGAGUCCAUAAAAAAUUUGGCAACCAUUGUAGAGGUAGGUUUACUAAAAAAUAAAGUGACCCUUCAAUACUUGCAUUUCUGUUAUCCUGUAAGAAUGUUUCAUGUGUGUUUAUUUUUAUUAUUAUUUUUUUAUUUAUUUUGCAGAUGGAGGAUCUAUCGUGGCCAAAAUUUGUAUCAAAAAAGGCCAAGGUCAGCUGGGUUAAGAGUCACAGACAGAGUCUGGUGGCACAAACAGUGGAUGAAGAGUUGGAUGAAGAAAGACAAAUCUGUGUUGAUUUGGCACACAAAGGUAAUAAAUCACUGAUUUACAUGAACAGUAAAGCAUAAAUGAUCAGAAACAUAGUAUGCCAUAUUCAAUUUAACAAAUUUUCAAUUAAAGGUCUCAAUGGUUGCUGCUGUCCUGCUGUUUCCACUUCUGUUAAAGGAGAGUCUGAGAUCUCUUUAUGUCAUCAGUGAGGUGAGUCUAUUUGUAUCCAUAAUAUCUAAAUCUAUCAUUUUUUUUUUUCUUUUUCAACCCCUUCUCUUGGUUAUGAUUUCUUCUAAGUCAAGUCAAGUCUGCUUUAUUGUCAAUUCUUCCACAUGUACAGUACAUACAUACAGAGAAUCGAAAUUGUGUUACUCUCAGACCCCCGGUGCAUACAGAUAACACUAACAGUAGAGCCUAAAAUCUACAUCAAAUAUAACAUAUAAGAUACAUAUAAGAUUUUCCGUGAACACAAAAACACAACAGUCUCUUACAGUCCUCUGAGUUGAACAUAGUAAUCGGAUGAAGUCCAGUUUAUUUCCAAAGAGUGUACCCCCUACGACUCGUCCCUCCUUCUUGCCGACAUCCAGCAGAAACUCACGACUGUAUGCGCGCUUAAAGACAGAUAGACGCGAUGACGACGUACAAAAACACUGCGACUCACAAGACAAAAAACACGAAAACACCGUUCUGUCGGGACAGAGAGAAGCCGCUGCGUGUGGACGCGCCGCCAUCUUUUAAUGAUGUUUAAUCUAUAAACAUUUGUUUAUAGAAUGGGGUUAUUCUGUGGAACUGUUUGUGUCCAUGCAGGUUCCACAGUAACAGCAGCAAGAAUGAAUAAAGGGAAAAUUCAAACAAAAAUUUAAAUUCUGUUAUCAUUUCCUCACUUUCAUGUUGUUUCAAACUUGUAUUACUUUCUAGAAAUUAUUUUCAAGAAUGUCACUGAAAAUCACUGACAUGUUGUUCUGGACCCCAGUGAUUUUCAUCUUAUGGUCAUUCUGUAACAUUCUUAUUCUUAACAAUAUCUUAUUUUGUGUUCUGCAGAAGAAAAACAUUAUACAGGUUUGGAACAACAUCAGGGAGAGUAAAUGACUACAAAAUAUCCCUUUAAUGGAGCCAUACACGUUUGAUUACAAUUUGCUAUAUAUAUAAUUAUAUUUUUCUCACUAUUGUCAACUUAUAAUAUAAGGGAUUCUUGCAUAAUUUAGUUUUUCAUGACCACUUGCCACCCUCUCUAUUAUCUUUUGUAUAUUAUUAAUAUAGUUUACACUGCCUCAUCUUUCUUUUUAAAGCCUCUAUUACAUUGUGACAGGUUAAAAAAAAGUCAAAGAUUUAUUACCAUCUUAUUUUUGGAAUCUUAAUUAAAUAAUAAUAAUAAUAAUAAUAAUUAUAUAUAUAUAAUAUAUAUAUAUAUAAUUUCACGUUAACUACUAAAUAUUGUUAUAGUAUAACAUUAUUUUCUCCUUGUUUAGG
rnacentral:lncRNA from 1 species